UACGGGGGGUGCGAGCGUUGUCCGGAAUCACUGGGCGUAAAGGGCGCGUAGGCGGCCUGGUAAGUCUGUGGUGAAAGCCCGGAGCUCAACUGCGGGUCUGCCGCGGAUACUGCGAGGCUUGAGUGCUGUAGAGGGGGGUAGAAUGCCGGGUGUAGCGGUGGAAUGCGUAGAGAUCCGGCAGAAGACCGGUGGCGAAGGCGGCCCCCUGGGCAGUAACUGACACUGAGGCGCGACAGCGUGGGGAGCAAACAGG
rnacentral:rRNA from 1 species